rnacentral:lncRNA from 1 species
UACAAAUAAGACAGAGAAAGCUACAGCGGCUUCUGCAGUUCUCCUGAGACCCAGCGGAAAGGGGAAACAGACCUCAGAUUUGCAGAUAUGUUGUUAGGAAUUUACUGAGAACCACUGGAGAAUCCAAGAGAUGAAAUGCAUAAGGAGGUUCUCUUAGAUCCAUGUUGGGAAGAAUUUUUUGAGAAUCAGAGGUGCAAAAACAGGUUGGAGAUACACCAUCCAAAUGCAAUGCUGGAAACUUGUAGGUUACUUCAAGCUACGGUGUAGGUUGCCGAGGUCACUUGGAUCCCAAGUUGCUGUGGCUGUGGUGUCGACCAGCAGCGGUAGCUCCGAUUCGACUCCCUAGCCUGGGAACUUACAUAUGCUGCAGGCUAAGAAAAUGGCUUAUACCUGGUGUGUUGCAUGCCUACAACGAUCAAAGACCUCAUUGAAAAAAAAACCGGGAACACGUCCCAAGCCCAAGCUAUUGCUUUGCUCUGAAAGGGCAUAUGGAAGCUCCCAGGCUAGGAGUUGAAUGGGAGCUGCGGCUGUCGGCUGCUGCGAGAGCAAUGUGGGAUCUGAGCCAGAGAUGUCCAAGGUCAAUGGCAGUGACUGACCUUGACCAUGAUGAUGGCGCACAGAGGCUGUGAAGUCAGAAGCGUUUGGAGUCCUGCGGUUUCCACGUGGGCCAGCUGUGCUUGGGCAAUUCCGGUCAAGCCAGAUGCCAAAACCCAUUGCAGACACAGGAAGAGCCUCAUCGUCAAGUCUCCAAACAAGCAGUCGAAAAUCAAAAGAGAAGGUAAGUUAUGUUCUCUCUCCCCAUUCUACCAAAAUAUUUUUCUCCUGAGCGCGGAUGAGCUUUCUGGUUUUUCCUUUGUGCUUCAUAGCAGAGGAAGAUGCCACUGAUGUUAUAUUGUGCAUACGUGAAAUAAUUUUUUACUUUUUUUUUUCUUUUUGUUUUUGUUCUUUUUUUUUCCUUUUUUCUUUUUUUUUACCUGGGAACUUCCCUAUGCCACCAGUGCGGCCCUAAAAUAAAAAAUAAAUAAAUUAAUUAAAAAAGUCAAAAAUUUAAAAAAAAAGAAUGUAUAUAUAUGUAUGACUGAAUCCCUUUGCUAUACAGCAGAAAUUAACACAGCAUUGUCAAUCAAGUAUACAUCAAUAAAAAAAAACACAUAAAAAAAAUGAAGAGAGUCCCCUGGUAGCUCGGUGGGUUAAGGAUCUGGUGUUGUCACUGCUGUGGCUCUGGUGGUUGCUAUGGCACAGCUGUAACCCCUGGCCUGGAAACUUGUGCAUGACGCCAGUAACAGCCAAGAAAGAAAGAAAGAAAGAAAGGGAAUUUCCCAUUCCAAAUAGAAAGUACUAUUUAAAAACUUUUUGUCUUUUGGUGGAAUAUAUGUAUUGUUUGCUGACUGACUCUCGCCUUAGCUGUAGAAGUUCUGGCGGACAUGAACUCUGCUUUCCAGACUGGAAACUUCUUUUCCUCCAGGUCAUUCAAAUUAUAUUCUCUCCGUUGACUUGUGGAUUUCUUGGAGUAUUUCAAAUUGCAGUUCCUUUCAUCAUAGGUUUCUUUUACAUCUUCUACUGCAAGACUAUUUUUUUUUACCUUUUUAAAGAUACAGCCGAGAGAGAAUUCUAUGAAGCCAAAAAGCAUUUCGUUUUAGCAGAACAGAAGUGGGUUAGGCCUUAAGGCGGAGUUGGGGUUUGCCUGGCCCCAGGGCUCCCCACUUAACUCAAGCUGGCCGGCUCCUUCUCUAGAUCCCUGUUCCCUCUGGUCAGUUUAUUGCCACCGAAAAGGAAGCCGAACUAAAGCCAGGGCUCUACUGCUGUUCGAUGCGAUGACUAACUUGGGGCUAAUUCACUGCAUUCCUGAAGUUGACUCACUCCCAUCCAAAACCCUUGGGCUGGGGCUGGAACUCAGCUCGGGCUUUCCAAGGAGCUGCUCCUGUGAGCCCGCCUUAGACGACCUCAUCUGGACCAGCCUGGGGUUGGCCUCCACCUCGGGAACCUGAGUAUAGCUUGUUCUAGAGCAAGUUGAUGUUUAAAAAGGCUUAGACUGGAGUUUCCAUUGUGGCUCAGUGGGUUAAGGACCCAAUGUUGUCUCUUUGAGGAUGUGGGUCCAAUCCCUGGCCUCACUCAGUGAGUCAAGGAUCUGGCAUUGCCUCAAACGGCUUCACAGAUCACAGAUGUGGCUCAGAUCUGGUGUCGCCAUGGCUGUGGCAUAGGCUGCAGCUGCAGCUCUGAUUCAACCUCCAGGCUGGAAACCUCCACAUGCCACAGGUGUGUCUGUAAAAAAAAAAAAAAAAAAAAA